rnacentral:rRNA from 1 species
CCUGGUUGAUCCUGCCAGUGGUAUAUGCUUUCAUCAAGGACUAAACUAUGCAAGUGUAAGUAUGAGUGAUUUAUACAACGGAACUGCGAAUGGCUCGGUAAAACAGCUAUAGUUUCUUCAGUGGUAAAUACUACUUUGAUACCCGUAGUAAUUCUAGAGCUAAUAUAUGCCAUAAAAUCGGCGCUUUCGCCGUGGUAUAAAUUGGAGAUACAAGCCAAUAUGGGGGGAUUCACAAUUUCUUUCUGAUUGUACAUGAGUGCGACGCACCGUUCAAGUUUCUGACCUAUCAACUUUGGAUGGUGAGGUGUUUUCUUACCCUGGUUGUGACAGGUAACGGACGGUGGGUGCGGGAAUCCGAAGAGGGAGCCUGAGAAACGGCUACCACAUCCAAUGAAGGCAAAAGGCGCGCAAAUUACCCAAUCCGGACACCGGAAGGUAGUGACAAGAAGCCAUCUUUUAAUUUGAGAAUAUUAGAGUGUUCAAAGCGGGCUUUUGCCAUGAAUGCAUUAGCAUGGGAUAAUAAAACAGGACUUGUUUCCCUUUUCGUUGGUUUGUGAAGAACGGGUAAUGAUUAAGAAGGACGGUUGGGGGCAUUUGUAUUCCGGCGUCAGAGGAGAAAUUCUUGGAUUGUUGGAAGACAAACGGCUGCGAAAGCGUCUGCCAAGGACGUUUUCAUUGAUCAAGAACGGAAGUAAGGGGACCUACGACGAUCAGAUACCGUCGUAGUCUUUACUGUAAACGGUAAGGACUGAGGAUGGGCAGAACUUGAAAUUUGGCCCUCCAGCACCCUUCGGGAAACUAAAGUGUUUGCUUUGACGGAGGAGUAUGGUCGCAAGGCUGAAACUUAAAGGAAUUGACGGAAGGGCAUCAUCGGGUGUGGAGCGUGCGGCUAAAUUUGACUCAACACGUGGAAACUUACCAGGUCCGGACAUAGUGAGGAUUGAAAGAUUGGGAGCUCUUUCUUGAUUCUAUGGUUGGUGGUGCAUGGCCAUUCUUAGUUGGUGGAGUGAUAUUUCUGGUAAAUUUCGGUAACCAGCGAGACCUGAGCGUGCUGGCUAGGCGCGACUACCGCUUUUUGGUAGUGAGACUGCCUUUCUAGACGGACUGCAGGCUUCUAGCCGGCGAAAGUUCCAGGCAAUAACAGGUCUGAGAUGCCCUUAGAUGUUCUGGGCCGCACGCGUGCUACACUGAGCGGGUCAACAGGUGAGGAUGUGCGAAAGCGCUUUCCAAUCUUUAGAUACGCUCAUGCUGGGGAUCGAGGUUUGCAAUUUUCCCUCUUCAACGAGGAAUACCUUGUAAGCAUGGGUCAUCAUACCGUGCUGAAUACUGCCCUGCCCUUUGUACACACCGCCCCUCGCACUUACCGUUUGAGUGGUCUGGAAAGGCCUUAGGAGGGAAAGAUGGACUGUGUUUCAUGGACUGUUUGGCUCAAACUUGGUCACAGCUUAUCACUUAGAGGAAAGAAAAGUCGUGACAAGGUUUCCGUAGGUGAACUUGUCGACA